GACGAACGCUGGCGGCGUGCCUAAUACAUGCAAGUAGAACGCUGAAGGAGGAGCUUGCUUCUCUGGAUGAGUUGCGAACGGGUGAGUAACGCGUAGGUAACCUGCCUGGUAGCGGGGGAUAACUAUUGGAAACGAUAGCUAAUACCGCAUAAUAGUAGAUGUUGCAUGACAUUUGCUUAAAAGGUGCAAUUGCCUCACUACCAGAUGGACCUGCGUUGUAUUAGCUAGUUGGUGGGGUAACGGCUCACAAAGGCGACGAUACAUAGCCGACCUGAGAGGGUGAUAAGCCACACUGGGACUGUGGCAGGGCCCAGACUCAUACGGGAGGCAGCAGUAGGGAAUCUUCGGCAAUGGACGGAAGUAUGACCGAGCAACGCCGCGUGAGUGAAGAAGGGUUUCGGAUCGUAAAGCUCUGUUGUAAGAGAAGAACGAGUGUGAGAGUGGAAAGUUCACACUGUGACGGUAUCUUAACAGAAAGGGACGGCUAACUACGUG
rnacentral:rRNA from 1 species